ACGAACGCUGGCGGCAGGCCUCACACAUGCAAGUCGAGCGAGGACUUCGGUUCUAGCGGCGGACGGGUGAGUCACGCGUGGGAAUGUGCCCUUCUCUACGGAAUAGCCCUGGGAAACUGGGAGUAAUACCGUAUACGCCCUAUUGGGGAAAGAUUUAUCGGAGAAGGAUCGGCCCGCGUUGGAUUAGGUAGUUGGUGGGGUAAUGGCCUACCAAGCCGACGAUCCAUAGCUGGUUUGAGAGGAUGAUCAGCCACACUGGGACUGAGACACGGCCCAGACUCCUACGGGAGGCAGCAGUGGGGAAUCUUAGACAAUGGGGGCAACCCUGAUCGAGCCAUGCCGCGUGAGUGAUGAAGGCCUUAGGGUUGUAAAGCUCUUUCAGCUGGGAAGAUAAUGACGGUACCAGCAGAAGAAGCCCCGGCUAACUCCGUG
rnacentral:rRNA from 1 species